CAGUCGAGAAUCUUGGGCAAUGCACGAAAGUGUGACCCAGCGACGCCGCGUGGAGGAUGAAGGCGCUCUGCGUCGUAAACUCCUUUUACGGGAGAAGAACACAAUGACGGUAUCCCGUGAAUAAGCCACGGCUAACUACGUGCCAGCAGCCGCGGUAAUACGUAGGUGGCAAGCGUUGUCCGGAUUUACUGGGCGUAAAGCGAGCGCAGGCGGACCGCUAAGUAAGAAGUGAAAGGUCGGAGCUCAACUCCAACAUUGCUUCUUAUACUGACGGUCUUGAGUCUUGGAGGGGAAAGCGGAACGACACGUGUAGCGGUGAAAUGCGUUGAUAUGUGUCGGAACACCAAUGGCGAAGGCAGCUUUCUGGACAAGAACUGACGCUCAGGCUCGAAAGCCAAGGUAGCGAACAGGAUUAGA
rnacentral:rRNA from 1 species